CACCUGUAUUCUCAAGUCCAGGAUAGGAGCAUCUCCCAGGUGACUUGCCCAGUGUGGAUUGCCAUAAGGCUCAACAGCGUCGUUACUCGAUGGUACUGUCCAUGUUACAGAUGUAUUUGUUUUUCCAAAUAACAUGUACCCUCCGCCGUCAGUAAUCAUAUCACAAUAUGCCUGGGAAGAUAAAGAAGAAUAAAAAAACCUGUAUCGUAAUAGAAAGGAUUGGUGCAUAAAUGAUUUCCCUGCUAACGAUAUACAUGAAAAUACUUUAAAA
rnacentral:lncRNA from 1 species